rnacentral:rRNA from 1 species
GAAGCGUAGAGUAUGAUCGUGGCCGGUCGAACUUCGGUAUGCUUGAUUAUGACGUACUUGUACUGAUUGAGAUUUUAACACGAAGUGAGUGGCGAACGGGUGAGUAACACGUGGGUAACCUGCCCAGAAGUAGGGGAUAACACCUGGAAACAGAUGCUAAUACCGUAUAACAGAGAAAACCGCAUGGUUUUCUUUUAAAAGAUGGCUCUGCUAUCACUUCUGGAUGGACCCGCGGCGUAUUAGCUAGUUGGUGAGGUAAAGGCUCACCAAGGCAGUGAUACGUAGCCGACCUGAGAGGGUAAUCGGCCACAUUGGGACUGAGACACGGCCCAGACUCCUACGGGAGGCAGCAGUAGGGAAUCUUCCACAAUGGACGCAAGUCUGAUGGAGCAACGCCGCGUGAGUGAAGAAGGGUUUCGGCUCGUAAAGCUCUGUUGUUAAAGAAGAACGUGGGUAAGAGUAACUGUUUACCCAGUGACGGUAUUUAACCAGAAAGCCACGGCUAACUACGUGCCAGCAGCCGCGGUAAUACGUAGGUGGCAAGCGUUAUCCGGAUUUAUUGGGCGUAAAGCGAGCGCAGGCGGUCUUUUAAGUCUAAUGUGAAAGCCUUCGGCUCAACCGAAGAAGUGCAUUGGAAACUGGGAGACUUGAGUGCAGAAGAGGACAGUGGAACUCCAUGUGUAACGGUGAAAUGCGUAGAUAUAUGGAAGAACACCAGUGGCGAAGGCGGCUGUCUGGUCUGCAACUGACGCUGAGGCUCGAAAGCAUGGGUAGCGAACAGGAUUAGAUACACUGGUAGUCCAUGCCGUAAACGAUGAUUACUAAGUGUUGGAGGGUUUCCGCCCUUCACUGCUGCAGCUAACGCAUUAAGUAAUCCGCCUGGGGAGUACGACCGCAAGGUUGAAACUCAAAAGAAUUGACGGGGGCCCGCACAAGCAGUGGAGCAUGUGGUUUAAUUCCAGCUACGCGAGAACCUUACCAGGUCUUGACUUCUUCUGACAGUCUAGAGAUUAGAGGUUCCCUUCGUGACAAAUGACAGGUGUGCAUGGUUGUCGUCAGCUCGAGUCCUGAGAUGUUGGGAUAAGUCCCGCACCACCGCAAU